ensembl:lncRNA
GGGGGGGGGGGGCUCAAAUUCAGCCACACCCACCACCCUUUUUGAUCCAGAAAAACCCUGCAUAUUAGGGGUUAAAUGUCUUGCUCAAGGGCACCUCAGAUAUAUUUGAUUAAAAUGCCCCAAAUUAAAAGAAAUCCACUCCUACAUGUAACACCAAAUAAAUAUACAGUACCAGUCAGAAGUUGAUACCUACUGCUUCCAGGGUUUUUAUUUUUUUCUACAUUGUAAAAUACGUGUAGACAUCUAUGGAAUCAUGUAGUAACCAAAAAAGUGUUAAAUAUAUUUGAGAUUCUUCAAAGUAGCCACACUUUGCCUUGAUGACAGCUUGGCAUUCUCUCAACCAGCUUCACCUGGAAUGCUGUUCCUACAUAUGCUGAGUGCUUGUUUGCUGCUUUUCCUUCACUCUACAGUUCAACUCAUCUCAAUUGGGUUGAGGUUGGGUGAUUGUGAAGGCUAGGUCAUCUGAUGCAUCACUCUCCUUCUUAGUCAAAUAGCCCUUACACAACCUGGAGGUGUGUUGGGUCAUGGUCCUGUUGAAAAACAAAUGAUAGUCCCACUAAGACCAAACACGAUGGGAUGGCGUAUCGCUACAGAAUGCCAUGGUAGCCAUGCUGGUUAAGUGUGCCUUGAAUUCUAAAUAAAUCAGACAGUGUCACCAGCAAAGCACCAUCACCUCCACACUUCACAGUGGGAACCACACAUGCAGAGAUCAUCCGUUCACCUACUCUGCAUCUCAAAGGCACGGCGGUUGGAACCAAAAAUCAAAAAUUUGGACUCAUCAAAGUACAGAUUUCCACUGGUGUAAUGUCCUUUGCUUGUGUUUCUUGCCCAAGCAAGUCUUCUUAUUGGUGUGGUUUCUUUGCAGAAAUUUGACCCAUGAAGGCCUGAUUCACGCAGUCUGUUACUUGAAUUCUGAAGCAUUUAUUUGGGCUGCAAUUUCUGAGGAUGUUAACUCUAAUAAAUGUAUUCUCUGCAGCAGAGGUAACUCUGGUUCUUCCUUUCCUGUGGUGGUCCUCAUGAGAGCCAGUUUCAUCAUAGCGCUUGGUUUUUGCAACUGCACUUGGAAGAAAUUUUCUGUAUUGACUGACCGUAUUUUUCUCUUUGCACCAAAUAGGGCUGUCUUCUGUAUACCACCCCUACAUCGGUUCAAACGCAUUAAGAAGGAAAGAAAUUCCAGAAAUUAACUUUUAAGGCACACCUGUUAAUUUAAAUGUAUUCCAGGUGACUACCUCAUGAAGCUGGUUGAGAGAAUGCAAAGCUGUCAAGAAUCUCAUAUAUUUUGAUUUAUUUAACACUUGAUUUCUACAUGAUUCCAUAGUUUGUCUUAACUAUUAUUCUACAAUGUAGAAAAGUCAAAGUGAAAAAAAAAUGGCUUCCACCAUUUCAAAGUAGUCAGUGAAUUGUUGCCUAUGGUUUGUAAAAUACAUUUUUAUAAAUUUGGUAGCCAACAAAUGAAUAAAGAUUUGGUUCAGCACUGCAGGUGGCGCUAAAUCACCAAUAUUAGCAAUACUCAUUUCAAACAAGAAAAUUGACAACUUUCAAAUUGAGAUGGCGCUACCCAUGCUGUCACAGAAUCCAUUGAGGCACAGAGGAAUCCUUUCUACCUCUAUGAAGCCAACACACAGGUUGGCGUGUUCUCAGGAGAUGACAUCAAGGAUGCACCUGGAGACCCCAUGGCAGCCCCACAGGAUAGGCUGAGUCUUGCAGGAGAGUGAUGACCUCACCACCCCCUAAUUUCUACCGGUAGAUGAGGGUUGUGUAAAUGUGACUUUAAAAAUAAUCUCUUCCUUUACUGACACCAUCCACAUCAGCUCUACAUUUAAAGGGAUUUUGACAAUGAAAACCUAUCUACUCACCCAGUCUGAUUAACGCAAGGAUACUUUUGUGAGCCAAUAUUAACUGGUGUUAGUGCAAUGACUGGGUGCAUGAUACCAUGGACUUCCAGUCAUUGUGCUAACACUAGUUAGCAUUGGCUCACGAAAGUAUCCUAGCGUAUACCUUUAAUCCAACUUAAAAGCUGCAAAGCCAAAGCUCUGCCAUCUCUGACCGUUCCUCUAGUCGUAGAAUAAAAUCCAUCCGUCUCUGCAAGUAGAAUAAAAUGCACCCUUCCAUCUCUCCUCUAGUAGAAUAAAAUGCAUACCCCCAUCUCGCCUCUGGUAGUAGAAUAAAAAUACAUCCCUCCAUCUCUCCUCCAGUAGAAUAAAAUGCAUCCCUCCAUCUCUCCUAGUUUAAUAAAAUACAUCCCUCCAUCUCUAGUAGAGUAAAAUGCAUCCCUCCAUCUCCUCUAGUUUAAGAAAAUACAUCUCUCCUCUAGUUUAAUAAAAUACAUCCCUGCAUCCCUCCAUCUCCUCUAGUUUAAGAAAAUACAUCUCUCUAGUUUAAGAAAAUACAUCUCUCCUCUAGUUUAAUAAAAUACAUCCCUCCAUCUCUCUAGUAGAAUAAAAUACAUCUCUCUAGUUUAAUAAAAUGCAUCCCUCCAUCUCUCCUCUAGUUUAAUAAAAUGCAUCCCUCCAUCUCUCCUAGUUUAAUAAAAUACAUCCCUCCACCUCUCCUCUAGUAUAAUAAAAUACAUCUCUCUAGUAGAGUAAAAUACAUCCCUCCAUCUCUCCUAAUUUAAUAAAAUACAUCUCUCCUCUAGUUUAAUAAAAUACAUCACUCCAUCUCUCCUCUAGUUUAAUAAAAUACAUCCCUCCACCUCUCCUAGUAUAAUAAAAUACAUCUCUCUGGUAGAGUAAAAUACAUCUCUCCAUCUCUCCUCUAGUUUAAUAAUAUACAUCUCUCCUCUAGUUUAAUAAAAUUACAUCCCUCCAGUAGAAUAAUACUUCCCUCCAUCUCUCUAGUAGAAUAAAAUGCAUCCCACCUCCUAGUUUAAUAAAAUACAUCUCUCCUCUAGUUUAAUAAAAUACAUCCCUCCAUCUGUCCUCUAGUUUAAUAAAAUACAUCUCUCCUCUAGUGUAAUAAAAUACAUCCCUCCAUCUCUCCUCCAGUAGAAUAAAAUAUAUCCCUCCAUCUCUCCUCUAGUUUAAUAAAAUACUUCCCUCCAUCUCUCUAGAAUAAAAUGCAUCCCUCCUAGUUUAAAAUACAUCCCUCCAUCUCUCCUAGUUUAUUAAAAUACAUCCCUCUAUCUCUCCUCUAGCAGAAUAAAAUAAAUCCCUCCAUCUCUCCUCUAGUUUAAUAAAAUACAUCCCUCCAUCUCUCCUCUAGCAGAAUAAAAUAAAUCCCUCCUCUAGUUUAAUAAUAUACAUCUCUCCUCUAGUUUAAUAAAAUACAUCUCUCCCCUAGUUUAAAAAAAAUACAUCUCUCCUCUAGUUUAAUAAUAUACAUCUCUCCUCUAGUUUAAUAAUAUACAUCUCUCCCCUAGUUUAAAAAAAAUACAUCUCUCCUCUAGUUUAAUAAUAUACAUCUCUCCUCUAGUUUCAUAAAAUACAUCCCUCCAUCUCUCCUCCAGUAGAAUAAAAUACAUCCCUCCUCUAGUUUAAUAAUAUACAUCUCUCCCCUAGUUUAAAAAAAAUACAUCUCUCCUCUAGUUUAAUAAUAUACAUCUCUCCUCUAGUUUAAUAAAAUACAUCCCUCCAUCUCUCCUCCAGUAGAUUAAAAUACAUCCCUCCAUCUCUCCUCUAGUUUAAUAAAAUACGUCCCUCCAUCUCUCCUAGUUUAAUAAAAUGCAUCCCUCCUCCUAUUUAAUAAAAUACAUCCCUCCAUCUGUCCUCUAGUUUAAUAAAAUGCACCCCUCCAUAUCUCCUAGUUUAAUAAAAUACAUCUCUCCUCUAGUAGAAUAAAAUGCAUCCCUCCAUCUCUCCUCUAGUAGAAUAAAAUACAUCCCUCCACCUCUCCUCUAGUAGAAUAAAAUACAUCCCUCCAUCUCUCCUCUAGUUUAAUAAAAUACUUCCCUCCAUCUCUCUAGAAUAAAAUGCAUCCCUCCUAGUUUAAUAAAAUACAUCCCUCUAUCUCUCCUAGUUUAAUAAAAUACAUCCCUCUAUCUCUCCUAGUUUAAUAAAAUACAUCCCUCCAUCUCUCCUCCAGUAGAAUAAAAUACAUCCCUCCAUCUCUCCUCUAGUUUAAUAAAAUACAUCCCUCCAUC